rnacentral:misc_RNA from 1 species
GAUUGGCCUCCGGGCCGUUUUCGAACACACACACACCGUGAACCGUUCCGUCGUCCUUCGGGGCGGUGGCUUACCACCUAACAAUGUAUACCAGAACGUGAAAUGUCGUAAACAAACAAAACUUUCAACAACGGAUCUCUUGGCUCU